GAUGAACGCUGGCGGCGUGCUUAACACAUGCAAGUCGAACGGUGAAGGCGGAGCUUGCUCUGCUGGAUCAGUGGCGAACGGGUGAGUAACACGUGAGCAAUCUGCCCCUGACUCUGGGAUAAGCGCUGGAAACGGCGUCUAAUACUGGAUACGAGCUGCGAAGGCAUCUUCAGCAGCUGGAAAGAAUUUCGGUCAGGGAUGAGCUCGCGGCCUAUCAGCUUGUUGGUGAGGUAAUGGCUCACCAAGGCGUCGACGGGUAGCCGGCCUGAGAGGGUGACCGGCCACACUGGGACGGGGCCACGGCCCGGACUCCUCCGGGAGGCAGCAGUGGGGAAUAUUGCACAAUGGGCGAAAGCCUGAUGCAGCAACGCCGCGUGAGGGACGACGGCCUUCGGGUUGAAAACCUCUUUUAGCAGGGAAGAAGCGAAAGUGACGGUACCUGCAGAAAAAGCGCCGGCUAACUA
rnacentral:rRNA from 1 species